CAAGGUUAAGGGCGGAGAUUAUUAAGGCGAAAGCCUUACAUGUCUCAUUGGUCAGUCGACCUUGAGUGAAAAUGCGUCGGCGACUCGAAAAGUACAA
rnacentral:lncRNA from 1 species